CGGAGGGGGCUAGCGUUGUUCGGAAUUACUGGGGCGUAAAGCGCACGUAGGCGGACCGGAAAGUUGGGGGUGAAAAUCCCGGGGGCUCAAACCCCGGGAACUGCCUUCAAAAACUACUGGUCUGGAGUUCGAGAGAGGUGAGUGGAAUUCCGAGUGUAGAGGUGAAAUUCGUAGAUAUUCGGAGGAACACCAGUGGCGAAGGCGGCUCAACUGGCUCGAUACUGACGCUGAGGUGCGAAAAGCGUUGGGGGAGCAAAACAGGAUU
rnacentral:rRNA from 1 species